UACGAAGGGGGCUAGCGUUGCUCGGAAUCACUGGGCGUAAAGGGUGCGUAGGCGGGUCUUUAAGUCAGGGGUGAAAUCCUGGAGCUCAACUCCAGAACUGCCUUUGAUACUGAGGAUCUCGAGUCCGGGAGAGGUGAGUGGAACUCCGAGUGUAGAGGUGAAAUUCGUAGAUAUUCGGAAGAACACCAGUGGCGAAGGCGGCUCACUGGCCCGGUACUGACGCUGAGGUGCGAAAGCGUGGGGAGCAAACAGGG
rnacentral:rRNA from 1 species